rnacentral:rRNA from 1 species
UACGAGGGGGGCAAAUGUUGUUCGGAAUCACUGGGCGUAAAGCGCGUGUAGGCGGCUCUGCAAGUCGGGUGUGAAAUCCCAUGGCUCAACCAUGGAAGUGCACUCGAAACUGCAGGGCUAGAGUCCUGGAGAGGAAGGUGGAAUGCUUGGUGUAGAGGUGAAAUUCGUAGAUAUCAAGCGGAACACCGGUGGCGAAGGCGGCCUUCUGGACAGUGACUGACGCUGAGGAGCGAAAGCGUGGGGAGCAAACAGG